GACAGAGGUGCCGAGCGUUAGGCGGAAUCACUGGGCUUAAAGCGUGUGUAGGCGGGCCGUUAAGUAUCUUGUGAAAUCCCCCGGCUCAACCGGGGAAUGGCUGGAUAUACUGGCGGUCUUGAGCGAUCUAGGGGCAGAUGGAACAAGUGGUGGAGCGGUGAAAUGCGCAGAUAUCAGGAGGAACACCAAUGGCGAAGGCAGCUCGCUGGGACGGUACUGACGCUGAGACGCGAAAGCGUGGGGAGCAAACAGG
rnacentral:rRNA from 1 species